GGGGUCGUAGCUCAGUUGGUAGAGCACCUCAAUGGCAUUGAGGGGGUCAGGAGUUCGACUCUCCUCGGCUCCACCA
rnacentral:tRNA from 1 species